UGCUUUUUUGGUUUGUAUUGUAGUGUUCCAUGGUUUUGAGUCCCCUCACCCUUUCCACUUGUGAGGACACAGCAGAAGACAAGCAGCCCUCCCAGGAAGUGGGUUCUCACCAGAUACCGCAUCUGCAGGCAUCUUGACCUUGAACUUCUCAGCCUCCAGAUUUAUGGGAAAUGAAUGUUUGUUGCUUAAACCCCAAACAAAACAAAAUGACACCCCACCCCCAAGUAUCUUGCAGAUACCGGUGACUUAGAAAGUCACUCUUCAUUAAAAUAAAUUUUUUCUUUUCUUUUCUUAUUUAUUUAUAUAUUUAUUACUAGUUUUUUAGCUCAUCAAACACCAUUUUUUAAUUCUCGGUCUUUUUUUUUUUUUUUUUUUUAGGGCCACACCUGGGGCAUAUGGAAAUUCCCAGGCCAGGGGCUGAAUAAGAGCUGUAACUGCCAGCCUACACUACAGCCACAGUAACGCUGAUCCAAGUGGCAUAUGCAACCUACACUACAGCUCACGGCAAUGCUGGAUCCUUAACCCGCUAAGUGAGGCCAGGGAUGGAACCUGUGUCCUCCUGCCUACUAGGUUCCUUACCGCUGAGCUGCAAUGGGUACUCCCAGAGUUGCUUCUUUUAGGUUUUGGCUUCCUAUGAAGAAAAUGGGAUUAUUGAGUAACUUUGAUUACUUUGUUAGUGGAUGUGCGUGAAGUUUUAACUCAGUGAUGUUGUACAGAAUGUUUGGUGUCCUUUGUUUUUUUCACUAGUCUUGUGUCUGCUGCGUGCUUUAAGAAAAGAGUCUGACCCCUUGAGUCUUUGCACUGGGUAGAUUUCUUCUCGGGGAUUGACUCUCAGACCCACAUGGAAAAGCCCUCGUGCUUCCCAGCAGUUUAUGAGCUCUGGAGAACAAGCCUGCCCUCCCAGAAGUCGUGCAGGCCACGAGAUCCACGGAGGGUUCCCGGAGAAAGCUAGGACCAUGUGUUUCUGGAGGAGCUGCACCAGAUAAAAGACAAGGUACCAAGGAUCAGGCUGGACCAGAUGAGAUGCUUCCCAGGAUGAGUCUGCAAAAGAAUAGCACAAGGAGCAAGUGGCAAUUGUAGCUACGGAAACAUCAGAGUGGUUCAGAAAGCGGUAUGCUGGAAGGAGCCCAGAUGGGGGCAAGAGGCCAUCAGGAACAGGUCAAGGAGAGAAGAAGGUCAAGGCCAGUGGUUCAGGCUGCAGUGCGACUGGGGUGAAGCUGGGGAGCCUGGCGUCAUUGGAUAAUGGUGUGCCCUGCCAU
rnacentral:lncRNA from 1 species